AGUGAACGCUGGCGGUAGGCCUAACACAUGCAAGUCGAACGGCAGCACAGUAAGAGCUUGCUCUUACGGGUGGCGAGUGGCGGACGGGUGAGGAAUACAUCGGAAACUACUUUUUCGUGGGGGAUAACGUAGGGAAACUUACGCUAAUACCGUAUACGACCUACGGGUGAAAGCAGGGGAUCUUCGGACCUUGCGCGAUUGAAUGAGCCGAUGUCGGAUUAGCUAGUUGGCGGGGUAAAGGCCCACCAAGGCGACGAUCCGUAGCUGGUCUGAGAGGAUGAUCAGCCACACUGGAACUGAGACACGGUCCAGACUCCUACGAGAGGCAGCAGUGGGGAAUAUUGGACAAUGGGCGCAAGCCUGAUCCAGCCAUACCGCGUGGGUGAAGAAGGCCUUCGGGUUGUAAAGCCCUUUUGUUGGGAAAGAAAAGCAGCAGGUUAAUACCCCGCUGUUCUGACGGUACCCAAAGAAUAAGCACCGGCUAACUUCGUG
rnacentral:rRNA from 1 species